UACGUAGGGUGCGAGCGUUGUCCGGAAUUAUUGGGCGUAAAGAGCUCGUAGGCGGUGUGUCACGUCGGCCGUGAAAACCUGGGGCUUAACUCUGGGCGUGCGGUCGAUACGGGCAUCACUAGAGUUCGGCAGGGGAGACUGGAAUUCCUGGUGUAGCGGUGAAAUGCGUAGAUAUCAGGAGGAACACCUGUGGUGUAGACGCUUUCUGGACCUAGCUGACGCUGAGACACGAAAGCGUGGGUAGCAAACAGG
rnacentral:rRNA from 1 species